GUUUCCGUAGCUCAGUAGGAUAGAGCGGUCGCCUCCUAAGCGACAGGUCGCACGUUCGAAUCGUGUCGGGAACA
rnacentral:tRNA from 1 species